UACGAAGGGGGGCUAGCGUUGCUCGGAAUCACUGGGCGUAAAGGGUGCGUAGGCGGGUCUUUAAGUCAGGGGUGAAAUCCUGGAGCUCAACUCCAGAACUGCCUUUGAUACUGAGGAUCUUGAGUUCGGGAGAGGUGAGUGGAACUGCGAGUGUAGAGGUGAAAUUCGUAGAUAUUCGCAAGAACACCAGUGGCGAAGGCGGCUCACUGGCCCGAUACUGACGCUGAGGCACGAAAGCGUGGGGGAGCAAACAGG
rnacentral:rRNA from 1 species